AACGAACGCUGGCGGCAUGCCUAACACAUGCCAGUCGAACGACACCUUCGUAUCUACUUGCUCACGCGUGCGUAACGCGUCGGAACCUGCCCUUAUGUUCCGAAUACUUCUCCUUCGUGGGUGCUAAUAUCGGGUAAUGCCCUCGGAUCCCAGAUUUAUCGACCUUGUAUGGGCCCGCGUUGUAUUAGCCUGUGGGUAGGGUAUAAGCCUACCACGGCGACGCUCCAUAGCUGGUCUGAGAGGAUGAGCAGCGACACUGAGACUGAGACACGGCCGAGAAUACUAGGGGAGGCAGCAGUGGGGAAUAUAGGACAAUGGGGGAAAGCAUGAUCCAGCAAGGGCGGGUGAGUGAUGAAGGCGGGAGGGUAGUAAAGCAGGUUUACACGGGAUGAUAAUGACGGUACCGGGAGAAUAAGCACCGGCUAACUCCGUG
rnacentral:rRNA from 1 species